rnacentral:lncRNA from 1 species
CAAGGACUCGAGCAUCAAUGUAUUUUUUAACAAGUGUUACAUGCAGGCAUAUGUAAAUCAGCAAAAUCACAACGGAUCUGGGGAAGUUAGCUUAAGGGAGGCAGAGCUGUGAAGGAGCCAUACAAGGGAAAGUCCAGUCCUUGAGUGUGUCUGGCCACCCCAUCAGAAACAUCAUAGAGCAUAGGCAUCUGGUCAAGCAGGAAUUGUUUUUUUGGUGCAUCUGGCCACCCCAGCAAGUAGGUGUUUGAGGUCACCGAACAUGGCUGUUUGAUGAGGCCGAUACCAGUGCAGGAUGUGUAGCAGUUGUGGAAGAGGAGCGCCAACCUCUGCCAAGAAACAAGCAACAGAAGGACCUCGGCAGUGAGGGCAGGUGAGGCCCCCAGCGGAGGAACAG